GACGAACGCUGGCGGCGUGCCUAACACAUGCAAGUCGAACGGGACCGGGGGCAACUCCGGUUCAGUGGCGGACGGGUGCGUAACACGUGAGGAACAUGACUUUCGGUGGGGGAUAGCCGGCCCAACGGCCGGGUAAUACCGCGUACGACCAUUUGGGGACAUCCCUGAGUGGGGAAAGCAGCAAUGCGCCGAAAGAGUGCCUCGCGGCCUAUCAGCUAGUUGGGGGGGUAACGGCUCACCAAGGCGACGACGGGUAGCUGGUCUGAGAGGAUGGCCAGCCACAUUGGGACUGAGACACGGCCCAGACUCCUACGGGAGGCAGCAGUGGGGAAUAUUGCGCAAUGGGCGAAAGCCUGACGCAGCGACGCCGCGUGUGGGAUGACGGCCUUCGGGUUGUAAACCACUGUCGGGAGGGACGAAUGCCCCGCAAGGGGAGUGACGGUACCUCCAAAGGAAGCACCGGCUAACUCCGUGCCAGCCGCCGCGGUAA
rnacentral:rRNA from 1 species